rnacentral:lncRNA from 1 species
AUUGCUUUUUAUUAUUUGUUUUUUUCUGAACAUUUUUGAUCUGCAGUUGGUUGGAUCUAGGAUGUAAACUGCAAGUGUGGCAGGCCGACUGCACUGUUUUGUUACUAGAGGGAGUGAGAACACACCUGUGGACUUGAGCACCUUCCAUUCACCAGUUGCUCCAUGGGCAUACUCUAAUUCAGGUCUCCCCACAACCCUCUGAGUUAAUAUUUCUCUCCCCAUUUUAAAGAUGAGAAAAUAAAGCCUAGACAGUUUAACUUGGCUUCUGUUUUGAAACUAGCUGAGAGAUGAAUUAGGCUUUGAUCCAUGUCUAUCAGCUUCAACCUUCAUGCUUUUUCUUCUGUACCCCAGUGCCUGUUAAAUUUUGGAAAUCCCAGAAACAGCCCACAAACUUGGGUUAAUCUUAGAGAUUUUGACAAUGUCCUUUGAGAACCAGUGCACUACAGAAACACAAAACCCUUUGCAUAUUGUCAUUGAAUAAAUUGUACCAUUGAGACCUGAACCAAGAGUUUUAGAUAUGUAAGUUAGAAACAGUAGAUACUAGGUGUAGUCGGUGCAAAAGUAAUUGUGGUUUUUGACAUUGAAAGUAGUGGCAGCUGGGUGCAGUGUCCAUCUCAAAACAAAAACAAAAACAAACAAACAAAAAAAUCUAAUUUUAAAAUAAGCUUGCUCUCAAUGGUAUUUUUUUUAAGUGGUAAAGAAAAGGAAACUAAAAAAAUAACAAAAAUCUCGAAGCUCCAGUCAAUCUAAAGUCCAAUAACCUCUCUCUCUGUUUUUUUUUUUUUUUUUGAAACAGGGCUUUGCUUUGUUGCCCAGGCUGGAGUACAGCAAUGCAAUUCUGGCUCACCACAACCUCUGCCUCCAGGGCUCAAGCAACCCUCCUACCUCAGUCUCUGGAGUAGCUGGGAC